ensembl:lncRNA
GCAUGCUGGGUCCUGGCAGUGGUUAGUUCACAGUAAGCCUGCAAAUUAACACUUGUGUCUCAGAAUCCCAGCUGUUGACAGGAAAGCUAUAUUCUUUACUCGGUUGUUUGGCAAGAAAGGGUUUUCUUUGUUGCCUCUCAACACACUUUUCAGGUUUCUUUUUUUCCCCUUCCUUAACUCAGUGAUAUUGGCAUGCUGUUCCUUGGAAGUGGAAGCUCCUGGUAGGAAAACUGUAGCAUUGAAGCCCAUUCCAGCACCUGACCACCAUGUUGGAGAAGAAGUUUUUCCUAAUAUCCAACCUGAACCUCCCCUGGGGCGACUUGAGGCCUUUACCUCUCAUCCCAUCACGGGUCCAGAACGGUCCAGAGGAAGCAAAGGGAAG